AUGCUUUACACAUGCAANUCGAACGGGGUGAGGGGGCAACUUCUCAUUCAGUGGCGAACGGGUGAGUAAUGCAUCGGAACGUGUCCCGUAGUGGGGGAUAACGCCGCGAAAGCGGCGCUAAUACCGCAUACGCUCUGUGGAGGAAAGCAGGGGACCCGCGAGGGCCUUGUGCUAGGGGGGCGGCCGAUGUCCGAUUAGCUAGUUGGUGGGGUAAUGGCUUACCAAGGCGACGAUCGGUAGCUGGUCUGAGAGGAUGAUCAGCCACACUGGGACUGAGACACGGCCCAGACUCCUACGGGAGGCAGCAGUGGGGAAUUUUGGACAAUGGGGGCAACCCUGAUCCAGCCAUGCCGCGUGCGGGAAGAAGGCCUUCGGGUUGUAAACCGCUUUUAGCCGGGAAGAAAAGGAUACGGAUAACACCCGUAUUUUUUGACGGUACCGGCGGAAUAAGCACCGGCUAACUACGUGCCAGCAGCCGCGGUAAUACGUAGGGUGCGAGCGUUAAUCGGAAUUACUGGGCGUAAAGCGUGCGCAGGCGGUUCGUUGUGUCGGCGGUGAAAGCCCCGGGCUCAACCUGGGGAAUGGCCGUUGAAACUGGCGAACUGGAGUGUG
rnacentral:rRNA from 1 species